rnacentral:lncRNA from 1 species
AUCUCUUACAACCUGUAAAAAAAAGCACAAAUUUGAGGAAUGCAAAGGAACAAACACCUCCUGUCCAUACAACACAACAUGUAAUAAUUUCCAAGAAAAGAAAAUCAAACUUAUGAACUAAACCAAAGCUUCUCAUGAUUCAGUUUUAAACCAUUACUAAAAAAAAUUCAUAGAUAGUGAAAAUACAUCAUUCAUCCGACUUUUAAAACAUAAGACAUAAUCAAAACAUAGAC